UACGAAGGGGGCUAGCGUUGCUCGGAAUCACUGGGCGUAAAGGGUGCGUAGGCGGGUCUUUAAGUCAGGGGUGAAAUCCUGGAGCUCAACUCCAGAACUGCCUUUGAUACUGAGGAUCUUGAGUUCGGGAGAGGUGAGUGGAACUGCGAGUGUAGAGGUGAAAUUCGUAGAUAUCGGGAGGAACACCGGUGGCGAAGGCGGCUCACUGGCCCGAUACUGACGCUGAGGCACGAAAGCGUGGGGAGCAAACAGG
rnacentral:rRNA from 1 species